rnacentral:lncRNA from 1 species
CAAAAAAUCGUUGUCUAAUUUGGAUUUUGUCUUAAGCAGACUGUGGCCUUUUGGUGCUCGAAUGAAUUUUGCUGGUCUCCGAUUUACAUGAGAACAAUGAGGAAAGUCUAGCUCAUCCACAUUCGUGCAUCUUCCUGUUUGGUGGUACCUCAAAUAAAUGUGUAUUCUGUACUCAAUUUCAUUUUGUGGGGAUUCUUCUGGAUUGUAGUUGAGGUAUCUGCACCCAAAGUGAUUCUGGUUUUACUUGGAUUUGGAAUGAUUUCUAAAAAGCGGAUCAGGUCAGCUUGUGCUAUGUCAGUAUAAUCAAAGUUUAUGCAGGAAAUUAUAAACCAUUAAUUUUAGAAUCUAACUCCUCUGUUUGUUGUCGCAUUUCUUGGCUUUUAAAUUUUUAGAAUCCAUGCAUUGAAAAUCCAAGGGGUAUCCUCUAUCUGCUAUAUCUGUGAGUUCAACUAAAUCUUACCACAAAAUUUAGAACCGAUUUUUUUGUGGACUUAUCUCUGCAGAGGUCCUCCUAACUUCCUUGAUUUCUUUUAAUUUCUUCUGGUUGGAGUCAAAUUACCCUGCAAUUUUCGGUCGUCCGUUUGCUUAAUCGGCGUCUGUGAAAUAACUCAUUGACAUCCAACAAACCCAUAAAACAGAGCCUAUUAAUUCAUGCUAUAUUACCUUGAUUUAAUGUUCAAGUUUCAUAUAAACACGCAAAUGCAGUUAAAAUCCAAAUAAUAAUAACCACAUUGAAACGAACUCCUUGAGCUAAUUUUUGUUCCCGACGAAUACUAGUAAAUGAUUAGUCUGAACAAACAAUAUUUAAAGCCAGAAGUUAUUACAAAAAGCAGCAAUAUUUAAAGCCAGAUGUGAUUCUUAGAUACGUACAUCACCACCCAUCAUUCAAUUAAGUAUGAAGGAAGGGGUGAAUACCCUAUUAUAUAUAUAACAAACCAUUUUGAUCUGUCUUUAUCUCUUUCUCUAUCUGUCUUUAUCUCUUUCUCUAUCUUGGAUGUAAAGAUGUCGUAGGUGAACUAAUAUCAGGCAACAGCUCGUGUAUUACAAGCAGCAGGAUCAACAUGGCCAGCCACAGCAGGCUUCACGUUUUUACAUCUAAAUUGAGUCUCCAAACGGUCAUCCCCUUCGACGAGAACUCUCAAGUCGAUAAACCUGAUGUCCUUACAUGCGUCGGGAGCAGUGCCACACUCAAGAAUAACGAUACGAGGGUCCACGGAAGUGCCCUUAAUGUUCUUGAAGCUCACAUUUUCCACCUUAACUUUGGAGGGGUUUGUCGUUCGGCACUGUUUUGAUGGGCAAUGCUCCUGGUCUAGGAUUAUAGCCAUGUUCUGAAGAUAGUCGAAAAUAAUGUCUUCAAAAAUCAAAUUAGAGAUGGCUAUAUUAGCAUUAGAAGCCGCCGAACUCUGGAUCCUAAUUGCACCCUCAGUGUGUGAGAAGGUACAGUUUCUCACCGUCACGCCCUUAAUCGGCUCCUCUUUGCCAGUGUUGCCUAGGACACUCACACCAAGGCCAUUGCCUUGUGAGCAGGUCAUUUUUUCGAUGUUGAUCCCAGUAUUUCCAUCUAGGAUAGUGACACAGUUGUCGUGAAGGAUUUUGAUGUUUGUAUUGAUGAUGUUAAUGUUUGUUGACUUUUCGAUCAGGAUUCCCUCCCCACCUUUGAUGCCAAUGUCAACAUCGUCCACUGUCACGUUUAUUGACCGAUAAAUGCCAAUGUGACCGCCGACGCUAUUGUUCGAUGUUAUGCCUUGGAUGUGUGAAUCCUUAACCAUAGCGAAAAUUAAAUUCUGCAUUCAAUCAAAGAAGCAUUAAUUAAUCCCGAUCGAACAGAUCAUAACUUCCUGUCUUCAUUUUGUUUGAAGAAGUUUUGAGUUCAAAACUCAUGUACGAUAAAUAGUUGUUGAAUAAACAAACAAAAAAAUUAAAAUUAUUGAGAAUGGGGAUGCGUACUAGAGGCGGUUGUUCGCAUUGUUUAGCUUUAGUACAAUUGCCUUCAAAUCCUUGGCCAUCAAAAAUGCCAUCGCCUGAGAUGAACAAGUUGUUAACCUGCGUGAAACUAAUCCACGCAUUAGGGUGCGCACCUCCAGUUACCGACUGCUUUUUUGAAGACUGCACUGUUCCGUCAACCUUAAAGUGAAUAGUUUUUGCUUUGCAGGGCCCUGCAAAAUCAACCGGACCAACUAUAUAUGUUCCUUUGGGUAUCACAUAUCUGUUAUUUUGCCUCUCACUGCAGGCUUGUGUCCAUGCUUGUGUGAAAGCCUGACAAUUUAGUCACGUAACAAGAAAACAUUAGUUUGAUGAGAAACAAUUCAGUUGGCUUGUAAACUUUUUCAUAACACCAAAGGUAUCACACAGCACACUAAAUUUUAUUCACCGAAUGACGCAAUAGUAUUUGAUUGUUCGAUGAAAAAACUAAAGUUUAUUUUGUUAGAGAAAAAUCUGAAUUUCAAUAUCAUGAUGGAGAGUUGGUUAUUUGUUACCUUGGUAUCAUCUGUCUUGCCAUCACCCUUGGCUCCAAAUUUAACGACAUCAACACUGAUAGCUUUGGCUUUGAUGGCACAUAUCGCUACCAAGAACAAAAACCAGGUAAUUCCAUGAAUAAAUUUUGAACCCAUGUUUUAGAAUUGUAUUUGUACAACUUUUAGCCGCUGAUAAUCUCAAUACUGUUGGAUUCAGGAUCGUUCUCAAAGGGUGCAUUUUAUAGUGUCAAAAAGGAAACUCGCCACUGCAAAAUUGUGAACCAAAAUUUAUGUGGACCACUACUAAUCUCUUAAGUCCUAUUCAGGUGCUGACUUUCUUUUAUUUAUUUACUUUCCUUUAUGUGGAUUCAAUUUCCUCCAAUUUUAGUUGUUAUUUUUGCUUAAUUUAGGCUCCUACUAUUCACACAAGAAACAUAUGUCUUGCUUCUUCCAAGAAACUACGUUCACGGGGUAAAUUUCGUUGACCUCCAGCAAAUUCUGUGAAUAAGAAAAAGUUUUGUUGACCUCUAACAAAUUGUUUCAAUAACUUUCGUCCACAAGAUUUGAACUCAUGAUCUACUUAAACAAAAUGGAGACUGUGUGUUAGUAGACCAAAUCAUCAAUGAUAAUUUAUUUAAUAUUAUAAUGUUUAUUGGUUAUUUUUUUAUUAGUAAUUAUAAUAUACCUACAACAAUAGUUUGCAUUCUAAUUUUUGUAAAUACUCUUGAUCUACAUACAUAUAUAAUAAUGUACCUAUUAUUUUUUAUGAAUAAAAAUCGGCCUAUUAUAUCUAUUCGCGUCACUACACACAUAUUUUGAUAUUGAUCUCAUUUAAUUAUUUAUAAUGGGGGUUGGAGUAGUGUGGGACGGAGAGAGUAUUAGAUAAUUAGUGAAUACUUGGUGUGUGAAAUAGGAGUAAUUUUUGUAUGUUCCGAGUACUGGUGGGUGAAAUAGGCAUCUUUUCAAACUUUUCUUUAACUAAAUACACAUGCACCCAUAGUUUCUCAACAAAGUGGCUUCACAAAGAAUAUGACAAAACUGAAUUUGGGAGAAGCAAGAAACCAAAUAUCUGAUAUUCUUAAGAUAGUACAGAGAUAUAUGCCGUGGUGUAGCACAUCUGCCUUAAUACAUAUGUACUUGUGCAAGGUUGUUUGUUAUCCUUUUUUUCUUAGCCAAAAAAGGGAAGUAAGCAAAUGCAAUGAGCAGGACACAGCAGGCUUCACUUUUUAACAUCUAAAUUGAGCUUCGAAACAGUCGUCCUUCGACAGUAAUUUUCACGUGGAUAAACUUGGCGUCCUUGCAUGCGCCGAAUGCGGUGCUGCACUCAAAGAACGAUGAUAUGAGGGUGCACGGAGGUGCCCUUAAUUUUCUUGCAGCUCACAUUUGACACCUUGACUAUGGAGGGGGAUUUGGCUUGGGGCACUGCUUUGCUUGGCAAUGCUCUUGGUCUAAGAUUAUAUGGAUGUUCUGAAGCUAGUCCAAUGUCCUCAAAAACCAAAUUAUAGACGGCUAUAUCAACAUUAGAAGCCGCCAAACUCUGGAUCCUAUAAUAGCACCCUCAGUGUGAGAAGGUACAGUUUCUUAUCGCCACUCCCAUAACCGGCCCAUCUGUCAGUUUUGCCUAGGACCCUAUGCCAAGCCCAUUGCCGUCUUCGUGUACAGGUCAUUUUUUGGAUGUUGAUCCCGGUGUUUCCAUCUAGGAUAGUGACACAGUUGUUGUUCACGAUUGUUGAUUCUUGGAUUAUAAUUCCCUCCCGCCAGACUCAGUGACCUCAACGUCGUCCACUGUCACAUCCAUGCUCUUGUAAAUGAAAAUAUGAGCUUCGAAGUGUAACACCCCAACUCCAAAUUUAACCCCUUAUUUAAAUUAUUUAAGUGAAAUUAUAAAUUUACCCUUGGGAUAAGGGUAUUUUGAUCAUUUUCUUACCCGGAGAGAGUUAGGGGCAGUGACUGGUAUUUUUGGAUAAGUCGUACUGAGAUGAGUUCGUAGACACGUGGUAGGCUCAAAUCGGAGUUGUAACGAGAGAGAUAUAGUCAAAAGAAACUCAGUGGCACAAUCGUAAUUAUUUCGAAAUGGGAUUUUUAUAAAAACCAGAUUUCUCUCUCUCUCUCUCUCUCUCUCCCCGACGGUCUCUCUCUCUCUCUCCUCGAAUCUCUUGCCACCGGCCGCGGCCGCGGACGGGACCGGUGCCAAAAGGACUAGCUCGGCCUCGGCGUCACGACCCGGCCCUUCCCCAACAUCGGCCGUCGUUCCAGCCGCCGGAAAAAGGCGAUUUUUGCCCAGUUUUUUCUCAAACUUCGCCGGCUCCGAUCUUCCUCCUUCGGCCUCUAUUUCUGGCGAUCAAGGUAUGGAAAUUCAUCCAUUCUUCAUAAUCUAGUUGCCUGUCGGGUAGGAUUGGAUCUAUUCUUAGCGUAGGUAAUUCGAUUUACGAAUUGAAAUUCGGCCGGUUUAGGGAUCGCGAUUCCGGCCACCUCCGGUCAGUUUUUGGGGUAGGUCUAAGAACAAAAGUGGCUUCAAAUAGGGUGUUAUACCUAGGGUAGGAGUUUGGAGCCAUGGUUUUGAGAUUUUCCGGCGAUGCGUAAUCGGUUUGGGCACCCAGCGCUGCCGGCGCAUGUGGCGGCGCGUGGGCCAGGGUAGUGAAGUUGCACUGUGUCUCGAUGACAUCCAUAGGUUGUCACGAGUGCGUAGGAUUUCGCGAAUCUCAAUUCGGACGUCAUUUGACUAUCGAACGGAUACCGCCUAUUGCGUGUUAUCCGGGUUCGAUAGGUUGGGACCUUUGAAUGGUGUCAAAUUUAAUAUAUGUUAAUCUAGGUAUUUCUAGGAUCGUGUAGGAUUUCACGGAUUGUGAAUCGGAGCCCCGGAUGUUCCGAUUUAUAAAUUUAAAGUUUAUGUUUUGUAACAACCGUCAGAUCGUGCGAUCGUGAGUGAUCCGACCGUCCGAUCUGGACCAAACUUGCAGGACAAGUAUCCUAUACCUUGUAGAAUCCAUAGGAUCUUUCAGAUCAGAAUUUGGAGGUCGUGGGCCCCGUGGGCCCGUUUGACCAGGGUUAGGGUAGUUUGACCCUUGGUUGAUCGUGAGUCUUCCGGAGUAGUCUCACCUUCCCAGGAGGAUUUAAGUGGCCGUAGAGAUAGGUCUUGAGUGUUAGAUGAAUCUUGUUGAUUAUGUGGGAUUAGAAAUUAAUAUGUAUGUUUAUAUAUGUUUAUAAAAGUAUAAAAGAGAGUCUAGAAUGUCAGUUUGAAGUGCUAUACGCACUACCUUAGGCACAUCCCCGGAUUUUGGUUACACUACAUGUACCACCCUGUGAAAGUUAGGUCCCACGUGGCGUAGGUUAUUCGGCGUGCGGACAGGCCCCAUACGUGGCAUUGGUAGUAUCGGCGUAUGGGGAGAUUACAUAAUAAUAUGUUGAGGUCGCACGUGGCGUAGGUUAUUCGGCGUGUCGACAGACCCCAUACGUGGCUUUGGUUGUACCGGCGUAUGGGAAGAUAUUGUGAUAUGAUGUUGAGGUCUCACGUGACGUAGGUUAUCCGACGUUGAGACAGACCUCAUACGUGGCGUUGGUUGUACCGGCGUAUGUGGAGAUAUUGUGAUUGUAUGGUGAGGUCGCAUGUGGCGUAGGUUAUCCGGCGUGUCGACAGACCCCAUACGUGGCGUUGGUUGUACCGGCGUAUGGGGAGAUAUUGUGAUAGUAUGGUGAGGUCGCACGUAGCAUAGGUUAUCCGGCGUGUCGACAGACCCCAUACGCGGCGUUGGUUGUACCGGCGUAUGGGGAGAUAUGUGAUAUGAUGUGCAUGUCUCUCGUGGCGUAGGUUAUCCGGCGUUGAGACAGACCCCAUACAUGGCGUUGGUUGUACCGGUGUAUGGGGAGAUAUUGUGAUAGUAUGGUGAGGUCGCACGUGGCGUAGGUUAUUCGACGUGUUGACAGACCCCAUACGUGGCGUGGGUAGUACCAGCGUAUGGGGAGAUUAUGUGAAAUACAGAUAAAUGAAUAAAAGUAUUGCCUAUGUGUGGAAUUGGGUUUUAGGGAAGAACUACGUGUGGCUUGAUCCCUCAGUGAGGGUAUGUAGGCAGCCUAAGGUUAUUAGGUGCAGCUGCGGACAUAGAUAUGAUUGUGUUAGGAGGUUAAAACCUUAUAUAUUGGGAUUGGAAAAGCAAAAUGAUGCAUGUCGAAAUUUAGUAGUCAUAGUUCAUAUUUGAAUUUAUUGGUUGCCUUGUUUAAGGCAUGAAUUGAUUUGUUAGUGUACUUGAUAGUUUGUUGAGAAUUAUUGGAAGGCCGAAGGCCGUUUAUAUGAAUUGCAUGAAAUUAUUUUGUGCAUGCUGCCUGUUGGGAAUAUUAAAUGUAUUUUAUGCAGAUUGAAAUUUUGGGAAAUGUCCAAUUUAUAAGGGAGACUCUGCUGAAAUUUCGGCAGAAAGUCUCAGUCUUUAGUAAGUGGGCCCGGCAUCAGGAUGAUGUCGGAAAUUCCACAGGAUUCGCCUCGGGUUUUGAGAAAUUCGGGGUGGGUCCUUUCACGAAGUUAUGCCUUGGAUAUGUACAUCCUUAACCAUAGCGAAAGCUAAAUUCUGCAUUCUACAGACUUGUAUCAAAGAAGGAUUAAUCUCGAUCAAAUAGAUUUAACUCCCGUCUCCAUUUUGUUAGAAGAAGUUUUGAGUUCAAAACUCAUGUACGAUAGUUGUUGAAUAUUAGUUUUUCUCAAUGAACAUAGAGAACUCAGUACCGAAAUUGAAAGAAAAUAAAAAAUGGCAAAAAGUAAUUUUAGGUCCAUGUGGUUUACCACUUUUACUACUAAGGUCCCUGUGGUUUCAAUUUCGUCACUUUUGUCCCUGUGAUUUCAAUUUGAACCAAUUUAAGGACAAUUCCCAAUUUCUGAUACUUAUUGAGGGGCAUUUUGGUCCAAACUUGCAGCACCUCCCCAACCACCCAACAGCCACCUAGCAGCCUCUCCAAAAACUUAUCUCUGCUGUAAACCAGGAACAAACAAUGCUCCAUUUGAAUUUUUGUUGAUAAAAAUUAUGGCCAUCUAUACAUAAACAUCAACUAACAAAAUCAUAAUCGAGCGGGUCUUAGGAUUACACAAGGGAGAUACAUUUCUUUAUUUUUUUUCUGAACCCAAAGAAAAACUCACAAUUAUAAUCAUAAUCCAUCUCAUUUCUUCAUAAGGGAUGAAGGUAAUCUCAAGCCAAAAAAGAAAAACAAGGUAGCCAGAGCAAGUCGACUUCGGUCUUUUGUAAGCUUCAUAAAAGUAGCCUAGGAUUACAACACCGUCAUCAAUUGUAGCUCUUACUGCACCUUGCAGACUGUGGGGAGCAAAUGCAACAAAAAAUCAUUGUCUAAUUUGGAUUUUGGCUUAAGAAGACUGUGGCCUUUUGGUGAGAACAAUGAGGAAAGUCUAGCUCAUCCACAUUCGUGCAUCUUCCUGUUUGGUGGUACCUCAAAUAAAUAUGUGUAUUCUGUACUCAAUUUCAUUUUGUGGGGAUUCUUCUGGAUUGUAGUUGAGGUAUCUGCACCCAAAGUGAUUCUGGUUUUAC